CCCCUUUCUGCAGGCUGCAGCCGGGACUUUCUCCUAAUAAUAGAAGGAGGAGGGAGGAGAAGAAAAGGUCUGUUAGCCUGUUAUUCAGUGAAAACUAGCGAAAACUGCGAAACAUAGAUUUCUGAGGAUUUUCCAUCUUCCAAGGUCAACCAUGUGCAUUAUGACAGCUUGCACUACCCCUCCUGGCCUACAGGAGUCAGUACAGCAGUAAAGCAGGUCUUCUGGUGUGAAGGACUACAACGAAGAAGAACACUUGGACGAUCUCUCGCCACAGUUAGCACCCAUAUACAAAUCCUUAUACACUUUAAGGCUAGAAUUAUACAAAUGUGGGUACUUUCUAACGUGCACUCAUUUCCGUCUCUUGCGUUUAUUCCAUUUUUCUUCAACUACCUUGAGUAUCAAUGGCCCUGGGUGACUGCUGCCACCUUGUGGAACAACGACAUAGUGCAAAAGCAUUGAAUGCGUGUGUGACUGCGUAGAAAGUAUGCACGGUUACAUCGGGCGGUGCUCUGCUGAUGACGAAAUUUGCGUCAUGCAUAGUGUACACUGUUCCUAGCAUAUGUAUAAAAAGUGAAGUAUACUUUCUACUUAAGUGCGGGGGCCAGUGGGUUACAGCAGACAGUGAGUACAAAUACAGUAAAUCUAAUCUAAAUAGCAAGCUAGAGUAGUUAGGUAGACAACACUAGUUAAGACGAAGAAGAGUGUUGUUAUGGUUACAGUAUGUUUGUUCAUAGCUAAUGUGGCUGGUAGAUUUACCUUUAUUGAAAAUGUGUAUAUUAAGCCACUAAUCAUUUGUCUAAAAGUAACAGAGAGUCUGUCAUGAGAAAGAACAUGCUCAAGAACAUACAUCAAAUGUAUGUAUUAGCAAAUGAUCUGCAGCGCUUACAAUGUCUUAACUCCGAGAGUGAUAAAGCCAUAAUGUUUUCCUGAUUUCCUUGUCUACAUCCACAUUGUCAGCUUACGUGGCAUUGGUUUGUGCAGCAUUCUUAAGGACUAAAUACUAAAAAUAAAUAAAUAAAAAUAAGUACAUUCUCAGAACAGAACACUAUUAUCACACUCAUUUUCUCUAUAAAAAGACUGUAUAGUCAAAAAUUGAACGUUAACUAGAUUUUGAAAAUCAUAGUUUUUCUUUCAGCAUUAACCAUCACCAGGAAUAUUAUUUUUAUGAUUUGUAGUUUUUCUGUCCAAAACAAAUGUUCGUAUAUGAGAUGCAGGGACAACUUGGGAAAGUAUAAAUAGUUUUAUUGCAGUUUCAUGCAGCCAAGAAUGUUACCACUCCAUUCCCUAUUCACCAUAUAACACUAAGUGGAUUUCAGACAUUUUUUAGUCUUGUCCGAAUUCACACUUGACAUUUAUAAUGAAUUAACUGAAUAGUGCACUAUAUUAUUACUCACAGUGCACCUUAAAUCCAAUCUGCAACCGAUUGUACUCAAUGUCUGCAUUUCUUUCACCUUGAAAUUUAAUGAUCAGAAUGGAUACCAGAGCAUAUGUGAAUGCAAGUUUAACAACCAAUAAGACCAUGUAAUAGUGAUUAAAGAAAAUUAUUAUACAGAAAAUGAUGUAUUUUUGUCAUUUUAGGUUGCUAGUUUAUUAUUGUUUUGCUAACGGGUAAUGAAGAUGUGUUCACAGGGCUCUCACUAGUGCAACUUGCAUUCACUCUGUUGAAUAAGGGAGUAUGUAAAGAGAGUGUUAUCAGACACAGCUCACAUUUGUGUCCUUGCCUUCUACCAGAUAAUCUUGCCUAGCAACACAGCAACAGCACUCCACUAUUCUUACACCUGCAUGUUUUAACUUAGGCCCACUUUGGGGUCCAGGCCUAAGGCCUGAACAUUCAAGGCCACUAACAGGUUACACAACUAAGACCGAUUCUCAUUGCAGUGGCACCUGCAGGGUUCGUACAGAUGCUUUAUAAUGAACUUCCAGGACUUCAGGGACUUUUCAAGCACAAUAUUUUUUUGUUUUUGUGGGAAUUUGGGAUAAAUAACAUACAAAGAACUAAAAUGUUGUGAAAAGUCAAGCCUGAACGAACAGUUAAAUAUAAAGUGAGACUAAAUAUCUAAUGGGUGUGUGAGUGAGAAGGAAGAGGCCCCCACAACAGUUGCUUUAAUAAGAGACUACACAUGAACACGCAGGAGUAAAGUUUAAGCCUCAUACAGCAAAACAGCCAAAACGUGAAGUGUGAAUACUCGCGUUGUGUGAAUUCACUUAGUGCAUGGGAACUUGCGUAAAGCCUCUUGUAUACUUCCUUUUUUUAUGCAUACACUAGCGUAUGCACACAAUCGUACGCAUAGCCUUUCAAAGUGUACUCCAUUUGACAUGUACGUGUACACAGGCAGUCGAUGCAUGUGCGUUACAACUUGCAUUACCCCUCCUGGCCUACAAGCGUCAGUACAGAGCAGUUAAGCAGUCUUCUGGUGUGAAGGACGGAAAAUAAAGAAGAUUCGCAACAACAUGAAAAACACAGAGUAACAAUAUCACUUAAAAAUGGUAUAAAUGUGAACAUAAUAUGCUCUGACUUAACUAAAUCUGGACAUAGCUGUUAUUGCAGUAGCAGCCAGGUAAAGUGUAUAAUAGUGACAAGAAAUUAAAUACUAUAUAUUUUAUAAGUUCAGUAGCAGCAAAAAAGCAAUAGGCUAUGCAGCAAUGAGCAAAUGUUGCAAUAUUUGGGAGAAGGAUGGUGUUCAGUUCAGAGAGAGAGAGAGAGAGAGAGAGAGAGUGUGUGUGUGUGUGGGUGUCGGUCGGGCCGGUCCGGUCCGGUCCGGUCUCUGAGUAUUGAGGAGUCUGAUGGCUUGGUGGAAGAAGCUGUUACACAGUCUGGCCGUGAGAGCCUGAAUGCUUCGGUACCUUCUUCAAGACGGCAGGAAGGUGAAGAGUAUGUGUGAGGGGUGUGUGGGAUCAUCCAAAAUGCUGGUGGCUUUGCAGCUGCAGCAUGUGGUGUAAAUGUAUAUGAUGGAGUGAAGAGAUACCCCAGUGAUCUUCUCAGUUGUCCUCACUAUCUGCUGCAGGGUCAUGCAAUCUAAUAUGGUGCAAUUUCCGAACCAGACAGUGAUGCAGCUGCUCAGGAUGCUUAGGAUGAGGGGAAAGUAAAGUAGAGAUGCUGCUGGGAUUUCUUGGUUAUGGAGCUGGUGUUGAUGGACCAGGUGAGGUUCUCCACCAGGUGAACACCAAGGAAUUUGGUGCUCUUGACGAUCCAUCGAUGUUCAGUGGAGUGUGGUUGUUCUGUGCUUCUCUGACGUCAACAACCAUCCCUCAUGUUUUGUCCACAUUUGGAGACAAGUUGUUGACUCUGCACCAGUCCAUUAGCUGUUGCACCUCCUCUCUGUAUGGUAACUUGUCAUUCUUGUUAAUGAGACCCACCACGGUCGUGGCAUCUGCAAACUUGAUGAUGUGAUUGGAGCUGUGCGUUGCUGCAUAGUCGUGAGUUCACAGAGUGAACAGCAGUGGACUGAGCACACAGCCCUGAGAGGCCUCUGUGCUCAGUGUGUGGUGCUGGAGUUGCUGUUCCCGAUCCGGACUGUCUGAGGUCUCCUAAUCAGGAAGACCAGGAUCCAGUUGCAAAUGGAGGUGUUCAGGCCCAGUAGGUUCAGCUUUCCAGUCAGGUGCUGAGGAAUGAUUGUGUUGAAUGCUGAACUGAAGUCUAUGAACAGCGUUCGAACGCAAGUGUCAUUUUUGUCCGGGUGUGUGAGGGUCAGAUGUAGGGUGGUGGCAAUGGCAUGAUCCAUUGAGCGGUUGGAGCAAUACCCGAACUGCAGAGGGUCCAGUGAGGAGGGGCUGGAGAGUCUUGAUCUGCCUCAUGACGAGCCUCUCAAAGCACUUUAUGAUGAUGGAUGUGAGUGCAACCAGACGGUAGUAAUUGAGGCAGGACACUGAAGACUUCUUUGGCACAAGGACAAUGGUGGUGGUCUUGAAGCACGUUGGAACGAUGGCGCUGCCCAGGGAUAUGUUAAGGAUAUUUAUUGAUCCCACACUAGGGAAAUUCCCUCGUUACAGCCGCUCAGUUACACAAAAAACAGAUAGGAAAGAGUACACAUUAAAUAGGAAUAGAAUUGAAAUAAAGUAUCUAAAAUGUAUGUGUGUGUGUGUGUGUGUGUGUGUGUGUGUGUGUGUGUACACACUCGAUAGGACUAGAAAAAUAAGAAUUAAAGAGUAGUAAAAAAAUAAUAAUAAUGUUAAUAUGUACACUAUGGACACUUCAGUGUAUGUACAGAUGAAUACAAAUUUGAAUAUAUACAGAUGUUUAACACCUUGUUUAUUUACAUGAGUGGAUAAAUGGAUUAUUGCACAGUUUACAAUAGAGGGGCAACAAAUAGUAAUAAUGUGUGGGUUGAUGAUGCAAAAAAAACAGCUAGCUGUGCUACAUUAUUUUGUUGUUGCAUUAAAGAGUCUGACUGCUG
ensembl:lncRNA